rnacentral:rRNA from 1 species
AGCGAACGCUGGCGGCAGGCCUAACACAUGCAAGUCGAACGAACCUUUCGGGGUUAGUGGCGGACGGGUGAGUAACACGUGGGAACGUGCCUUUAGGUUCGGAAUAACUCAGGGAAACUUGUGCUAAUACCGAAUGUGCCCUUCGGGGGAAAGAUUAAUCGCCUUUAGAGCGGCCCGCGUCUGAUUAGCUAGUUGGUUGAGGUAAUGGCUCACCAAGGCGACGAUCAGUAGCUGGUCUGAGAGGAUGAUCAGCCACAUUGGGACUGAGACACGGCCCAAACUCCUACGGGAAGCAGCAGUGGGGAAUCGUGCGCAAUGGGCGAAAGCCUGACGCAGCCAUGCCGCGUGAAUGAUGAAGGUCUUAGGAUUGUAAAAUUCUUUCACCGGGGACGAUAAUGACGGUACCCGGAGAAGAAGCCCCGGCUAACUUCGUG